rnacentral:rRNA from 1 species
UCAUCUCCGGGGGUAGAGCACUGUUUCGGCAAGGGGGUCAUCCCGACUUACCAACCCGAUGCAAACUGCGAAUACCGGAGAAUGUUAUCACGGGAGACACACGGCGGGUGCUAACGUCCGUCGUGAAGAGGGAAACAACCCAGACCGCCAGCUAAGGUCCCAAAGUCAUGGUUAAGUGGGAAACGAUGUGGGAAGGCCCAGACAGCCAGGAUGUUGGCUUAGAAGCAGCCAUCAUUUAAAGAAAGCGUAAUAGCUCACUGGUCGAGUCGGCCUGCGCGGAAGAUGUAACGGGGCUAAACCAUGCACCGAAGCUGCGGCAGCGACGCUUAUGCGUUGUUGGGUAGGGGAGCGUUCUGUAAGCCUGCGAAGGUGUACUGUGAGGUAUGCUGGAGGUAUCAGAAGUGCGAAUGCUGACAUAAGUAACGAUAAAGCGGGUGAAAAGCCCGCUCGCCGGAAGACCAAGGGUUCCUGUCCAACGUUAAUCGGGGCAGGGUGAGUCGACCCCUAAGGCGAGGCCGAAAGGCGUAGUCGAUGGGAAACAGGUUAAUAUUCCUGUACUUGGUGUUACUGCGAAGGGGGGACGGAGAAGGCUAUGUUGGCCGGGCGACGGUUGUC